CAAGAUGGCGGUUUGUGAUUUAGGGGGAUUCUUGGGGUUUGUUACGGCUUUCUUUCCGAAGCUUUUAAGAGGAUUGCUUUGCAUCCGAUCAGACACAAGUCUUUAUUGGGUGGAGGUAAUGCAUAAACCCCCGGAGUUAUUGGAAAAAGAAUUAAUUGGGUGGGCCAGAACUGCGUCUGGUUUGGCAAACCUGCCGCAGAAAAGGGAAAUAAUUGAAAGGCGCUCCGAGUAGGGAAUGAAAUUAAGCCGAGACUGCAGUGCGAACGGGAGGAGACCGCAGUGGCGGAAAAGGAGCGAAAGUGGCUGAAGUUCUCAGUAGCAAGUCUUACUGAGUUCAAUGGGACUUACUCCCUGGUAAGAGCGAUUACCGAACUGCAGCCUUAGUGACUAAGAACGCGCGAGUCGGAUUUGCAGAUCGGCAUCAAAUCCUAUUUUGUUUGUGGGAUUAUUAUUAUUUUAAACCGAUUACCGCUCCUCUUCUCUCCGCAAACUGGGUUGAGCAAGAAAGUUGUGAAAAAGCCGGACUCAGCUGAGAGCAUUGCCAUACAAAAGACAAUGGAUAUUAUCUCAAAAAAUGGAUGCUCUGCCAACAAACCAGAAAGUUUUUCUAAACUACAAUAUGCAGUACUGUGUUAAUACUAUGUACCUCUUACGUUCUACAAGUGUUAAGAGGACCUAUUAGCAGUUAAGUGAGAUGUUGGUGUAGAAAAACUCAUUUCAGCUUAUUUUUAUUCUCCUACAUCAUUUUUUCUUAAGAAUGUAAUUCUGUUUUACCACAUGUCUGUAGUACUGACCUGUGUGUAUUUUGAAAAUGGUCUUUCCAGAUUUUACUGUGAAAGGGUUCAGUGUAAAACUUUCCUCCUGAAAUGUGAUUAAAGUGUCAUUUUGC